GGUUAAGCGACUAAGCGUACACGGUGGAUGCCCUGGCAGUCAGAGGCGAUGAAGGACGUGCUAAUCUGCGAAAAGCGUCGGUAAGGUGAUAUGAACCGUUAUAGCCGGCGAUGUCCGAAUGGGGAAACCCAGUGUGAUUCGUCACACUAUCGUUAACUGAAUACAUAGGUUAACGAGGCGAACCGGGGGAACUGAAACAUCUAAGUACCCCGAGGAAAAGAAAUCAACCGAGAUUCCCCCAGUAGCGGCGAGCGAACGGGGAGCAGCCCAGAGUCUGAAUCAGCUUGUGUGUUAGUGGAACGGUCUGGAAAGUCCGACGGUACAGGGUGAUAGUCCCGUACACCAAAAUGCACAGGCUGUGAACUCGAAGAGUAGGGCGGGACACGUGGUAUCCUGUCUGAAUAUGGGGGGACCAUCCUCCAAGGCUAAAUACUCCUGACUGACCGAUAGUGAACCAGUACCGUGAGGGAAAGGCGAAAAGAACCCCGGCGAGGGGAGUGAAAAAGAACCUGAAACCGUGUACGUACAAGCAGUGGGAGCACCUUCGGGUGUGACUGCGUACCUUUUGUAUAAUGGGUCAGCGACUUAUAUUCUGUAGCAAGGUUAACCGUAUAGGGGAGCCGCAGGGAAACCGAGUCUUAACUGGGCGUUAAGUUGCAGGGUAUAGACCCGAAACCCGGUGAUCUAGCCAUGGGCAGGUUGAAGGUUGGGUAACACUAACUGGAGGACCGAACCGACUAAUGUUGAAAAAUUAGCGGAUGACUUGUGGCUGGGGGUGAAAGGCCAAUCAAACCGGGAGAUAGCUGGUUCUCCCCGAAAGCUAUUUAGGUAGCGCCUCGUGAACUCAUCUUCGGGGGUAGAGCACUGUUUCGGCUAGGGGGUCAUCCCGACUUACCAACCCGAUGCAAACUACGAAUACCGAAGAAUGUUAUCACGGGAGACACACGGCGGGUGCUAACGUCCGUCGUGAAGAGGGAAACAACCCAGACCGCCAGCUAAGGUCCCAAAGUCAUGGUUAAGUGGGAAACGAUGUGGGAAGGCACAGACAGCCAGGAUGUUGGCUUAGAAGCAGCCAUCAUUUAAAGAAAGCGUAAUAGCUCACUGGUCGAGUCGGCCUGCGCGGAAGAUGUAACGGGGCUAAACCAUGCACCGAAGCUGCGGCAGCGACACUAUGUGUUGUUGGGUAGGGGAGCGUUCUGUAAGCCUGCGAAGGUGUGCUGUGAGGCAUGCUGGAGGUAUCAGAAGUGCGAAUGCUGACAUAAGUAACGAUAAAGCGGGUGAAAAGCCCGCUCGCCGGAAGACCAAGGGUUCCUGUCCAACGUUAAUCGGGGCAGGGUGAGUCGACCCCUAAGGCGAGGCCGAAAGGCGUAGUCGAUGGGAAACAGGUUAAUAUUCCUGUACUUGGUGUUACUGCGAAGGGGGGACGGAGAAGGCUAUGUUAGCCGGGCGACGGUUGUCCCGGUUUAAGCAUGUAGGCUGGUUAUCCAGGCAAAUCCGGAUAAUCAAGGCUGAGGUGUGAUGACGAGGCACUACGGUGCUGAAGUAACAAAUGCCCUGCUUCCAGGAAAAGCCUCUAAGCAUCAGGUAACAUCAAAUCGUACCCCAAACCGACACAGGUGGUCAGGUAGAGAAUACCAAGGCGCUUGAGAGAACUCGGGUGAAGGAACUAGGCAAAAUGGUGCCGUAACUUCGGGAGAAGGCACGCUGGUGUGUAGGUGAAGUCCCUGCGGAUGGAGCUGAGACCAGUCGAAGAUACCAGCUGGCUGCAACUGUUUAUUAAAAACACAGCACUGUGCAAACACGAAAGUGGACGUAUACGGUGUGACGCCUGCCCGGUGCCGGAAGGUUAAUUGAUGGGGUUAUCCGUAAGGAGAAGCUCUUGAUCGAAGCCCCGGUAAACGGCGGCCGUAACUAUAACGGUCCUAAGGUAGCGAAAUUCCUUGUCGGGUAAGUUCCGACCUGCACGAAUGGCGUAAUGAUGGCCAGGCUGUCUCCACCCGAGACUCAGUGAAAUUGAACUCGCUGUGAAGAUGCAGUGUACCCGCGGCAAGACGGAAAGACCCCGUGAACCUUUACUAUAGCUUGACACUGAACAUUGAGCCUUGAUGUGUAGGAUAGGUGGGAGGCUUUGAAGCGUGGACGCCAGUCUGCGUGGAGCCAACCUUGAAAUACCACCCUUUAAUGUUUGAUGUUCUAACGUUGGCCCCUUACCGGGGUUGCGGACAGUGUCUGGUGGGUAGUUUGACUGGGGCGGUCUCCUCCCAAAGCGUAACGGAGGAGCACGAAGGUUAGCUAAUCCUGGUCGGACAUCAGGAGGUUAGUGCAAUGGCAUAAGCUAGCUUGACUGCGAGCGUGACGGCGCGAGCAGGUGCGAAAGCAGGUCAUAGUGAUCCGGUGGUUCUGAAUGGAAGGGCCAUCGCUCAACGGAUAAAAGGUACUCCGGGGAUAACAGGCUGAUACCGCCCAAGAGUUCAUAUCGACGGCGGUGUUUGGCACCUCGAUGUCGGCUCAUCACAUCCUGGGGCUGAAGUAGGUCCCAAGGGUAUGGCUGUUCGCCAUUUAAAGUGGUACGCGAGCUGGGUUUAGAACGUCGUGAGACAGUUCGGUCCCUAUCUGCCGUGGGCGCUGGAGAAUUGAGGGGGGCUGCUCCUAGUACGAGAGGACCGGAGUGGACGCAUCACUGGUGUUCGGGUUGUCAUGCCAAUGGCACUGCCCGGUAGCUAAAUGCGGAAGAGAUAAGUGCUGAAAGCAUCUAAGCACGAAACUUGCCCCGAGAUGAGUUCUCCCUGAGACUUUAAGUCUCCUGAAGGAACGUUGAAGACGACGACGUUGAUAGGCCGGGUGUGUAAGCGCAGCGAUGCGUUGAGCUAACCGGUACUAAUGAACCGUGAGGCUUAACCUU
rnacentral:rRNA from 1 species